CACGUAGGGCGCAAGCGUUGUCCGGAUUUACUGGGCGUAAAGAGCGCGUAGGCGGAGAUCUAAGCGUGGCCUGAAAGCCCCCGGCUCAACCGGGGAAGGUGGCUGCGAACUGGGUUUCUUGAGGACGAUAGAGGAGAGUGGAAUUCCUGGUGUAGCGGUGAAAUGCGUAGAUAUCAGGAGGAACACCCGAGGCGAAGGCGGCUCUCUGGGUCGUACCUGACGCUGAGGCGCGAAAGCGUGGGGAGCGAACGGG
rnacentral:rRNA from 1 species